rnacentral:rRNA from 1 species
UUGCAUAUCCAAUCCCUCUUUUUAGGUUGUAAUAGUAUUUACUUACUGUUUUUUAUUAUUCUAAUAAUAACCCAGGGGCAAAUAUUAUUAAAGAUUAAAAAAACUGGAUUGAGUAAUUUCUAUUUAAAUUUUUAAAUUUUUAAUUUUAUUAGAAAUUCGUUUACAGGUGUUGCAUGGCUGUCGUCAAAA